GCCGGAGUGGCGGAAUUGGCAGACGCGCGCGACUCAAACUCGCGUGGAGAAAUCCUUGUGGGUUCAAGUCCCACCUCCGGCA
rnacentral:tRNA from 3 species